rnacentral:lncRNA from 1 species
UGCAAAUCUAAAAGAUGAAAUGUGCGAACACUAACUCGCUCGAAAGGGGCAACGAUUGACAGGAGAAAAAGCUAAAAGAAACACGCAACUAAGGUCAAUACAUGUAUUACGCAUUGACCUUAGACAAUGCUGGGUCACGCAGCACAUCGGAUCGUCAGAGAGUAUUGAGUAGCUUCAAAGACUCUUAUGUUGCGCGUCGGAGAGCGAAAGGGAAGUUAUUGCAUGCAAACGCCAUAGACACGUUACAUACAUGAACAGAAAAAAGGAAAUUCACAUACCUAUAAAUAUAUACAUAGAUAUAUAUAUAUAAGAAAAGGGCAAAUAUGGUAAGCACACUAAUAAUAAUGAUAAAUAAUAACAAUAUUAUUAUAAUAAUAAAUUCGAUGACAGAGAAGGAAUAAUCUAACUGAUAAUGAUGAAUAGUAAUGAUAAAAACAACAAUAACAUGAUGGUGGUAGUAAUAAUUACGAUGAUGAUACGAAAAUAAACGAGACAAUGGGAAAAUCGUCUCCCCUGGUGAUUACGACACCAAUUCAAGAACAAUAACGAUGUGUAAUACUAUAAAACUGCUGGUGGUCUUGUUAAUAACGUAGUAAUAAUAAUAAUAGCAUAAACAAUGAGAUAAUUAUUAUUAAUAAUGUAGAAAAACGAAAUGAAGUGAAAAGCAGAACGGAUGAAAAAAGAAAGCGUCAGAAAAGAGACCGGUAUAUGACGAUGAACUGGUGAAGAUAUAAAUAGCAGUAAAAAUCUCUAGGUACGAUAUUAUGGGAAAGGCAACACGCAAGUUCUUCUUGCACGUCAAGUAUUUAUCUUAAAUAAAAGUAUUCCUAGACUAUCUAAAUAUAAUUUGUCUAUGUGUGUACUUAGUUAGAGUUUGGGUGGAACUCGAUUUCUCUUGGAUACUAAUAACAAGUAUCGGUAAAAUGUAUUUCUAAGUAAACCUGUUAUAUAAGUUAUAAUGGAAGAAGGAGUGAUUAAGUAAAACAAUUAGAAAUAAAUAAGACAAAAGCUACAUUGCAUCAUCGUUUACUUAAAGGGCAAGAGAGCUUCUGACCAUUAUUUUCGUCUAGGACUCACCUGUAUCAGUUAGUCAUAGUUAAAUUUUCGAAAAUAGCAAUUAAAGUCGUCAGUAUUUUACCCUAUUGAGAUUACGGCUGCAGAAAAUCCGUCCGCUUGAAUGACUAAUCAGAUUUCAUGCUUUUGUGUUUCGGAAUUGUUUAGCAAUAUUCAAAUGUAAAGCCAGUGCUUCUUCGUUUGACAAAAAUAUGCCUUUCUUAAAUAAAGCCCCCUAUUUAAAGCCUAGCAUUUCUUACUUAAGGACCAAUACCCCAGGCGUAAAGACGUUACUUUUGAGAGCGGAAAUUUGGAGGAUCACAAGUAAAACGUCGAUUCGUGCCUUAGUACGACAUUAUAAGAUAGACGCCGUAAGGAGGAUCGGAGUGAUAAACAGAAAUGUUAGGAAAGUCAGGAAACUUUUCGUACUGUUAAGAACCGGUUAUCUCUGCUUUGUAAUGAAGAUAUAUGAAGCCGUCGAUCUGCGUCGGCAUCAUCUUUUCGGUUACAGCGUAAUGUAGGGCUGACGUCUCCGAGCGAAUCCGACACUGCCUUAAUUAAGCACUGCUGUAAACGGCUAUAUCCCAAGACAAAGCGGAUUAGUCGGCCGUUGGAUUCUGAUCUAGACCACUAUAACUUAAUAAUCAAACCCGUUAUCACGACACCAUCACAGGAGCUCUAUUUUGUUUUGUGCUGAACAAAGCAUGAAUUUCCAAGACAUUGUUGACGGUUAUGAUUAAGCUGAUCUACUGUCUAUACUAAUGGAUCGUAAAUAAGUUCAUGUGUGAUUGUAAUUCUGUGAAGAUAUUGAAGACAUUGAUGAACAUGGUUACGCGUAUCUCUGUAAUCAACGAUUCGUUUAGCUGAUAACAAGAUGAUCUACUUUAAUCGAUUUGGUCACUUCACUAGAAAGUAGCAUAAGAUAAAUCGUGUCGUUUUCGAUAUUUUUAUCUCUGUUCAUUGUUAGCGUACAGUUUAAUCAUAACUAGCCUACGUAGCUUGCUUUAGCAACCCUCUUGGGAGGGGUUUCGACAGGACUAAGCCGACGAACAAUAGGGGCUCACUUACAAAGGCUACGUUUAUCAAUUACUUUUGAGAAGCUAUCGUGCAGAGAUUGCUACAUUGCCAGCCGCACAAAUAAAGCCAUAGGACUCUCGUGUCCAAGAGCAAAUGGACUUUUGUAUGAGUGACGGAAUCUACACAGGGUAUAGUAGACAGAUCAUCUUGUUAGAAUCUUCCUAUUAUAAAACUAUAGUGGAAUCAAGUGAGACAUGUGGGCAAGCAGUGGAACCUGCACUAGUCUUUCACACGACCGAUAAUAUGGAAUUUCAAAAGGUUCAAUAUAUUGCUGUCUACAUUUAAGCACGUGCCCAAAAAUUAGUUGUUCCCACGUAUAAAUCACACCAUACAAAUUUAUAUGGACAUUACAAUAUGCAAAUAGAUGCGCUUUCUCUAAGUCGUCUCGCCCUGGGGCAUGCGAAAAUUGCAGUGUCUGUCUUGACAUACUAAACGUAACCAAUGCAUUUUCGUUGGCGUGUUCAGGUUAUAUAAUCAGCUUGCGCUUAGGACAAAGAAAGAGCAAUCAGCUGAUUGUUUAGGGAGUACCAGCUUAUUAUACAGUUAUGAUAAAUGACUGAGUUAAUCAUAUGUAAAGUUGCAACGUAACAAUAGGGUGUAGAGAUUGUUAUCAUUUAUUUUCAUAGGCCUGUUGGCAAA